AUUGAACGCUGGCGGAAUGCUUUACACAUGCAAGUCGAGCGGCAGCACGGGGGCAACCCUGGUGGCGAGCGGCGAACGGGUGAGUAAUACAUCGGAACAUGCCCAGUCGUGGGGGAUAACACUUCGAAAGAAGUGCUAAUACCGCAUACGUCCUGAGGGAGAAAGCGGGGGAUCUUCGGACCUCGCGCGAUUGGAGUGGCCGAGGUCAGAUUAGCUAGUUGGGGGGGUAAAGGCCUACCAAGGCAACGAUCUGUAGCUGGUCUGAGAGGAUGACCAGCCCGACUGGGACUUAGACAGGCCCCGGACUCGUACGGGAGGCAGCAGGGGGGAAUUUUGGACAAGGGGGGCAACCCUGAUCCAGCCAUGCCGCGUUAGUGAGACAGGCCUUGGGGUUGUAAAGCUCUUUCGGAAGGAACGAAACGGCGAGCUCUAACAUAGCUUGCUAAUGACGGUACCUGAAGAAGAAGCACCGGCUAAUUACGUGCCAGCCGCCGCCGUAACAC
rnacentral:rRNA from 1 species